GACGAACCGUGCGAACGUUGUUCGGAAUCACUGGGCGUAAAGGGUGCGUAGGCGGGUCUUUUAAGUCAGGGGUGAAAUCCUGGAGCUCAACUCCAGAACUGCCUUUGAUACUGAAGAUCUUGAGUCCGGGAGAGGUGAGUGGAACUGCGAGUGUAGAGGUGAAAUUCGUAGAUAUUCGCAAGAACACCAGUGGCGAAGGCGGCUCACUGGCCCAUUACUGACGCUGAGGCACGAAAGCGUGGGGAGCAAACAGGG
rnacentral:rRNA from 1 species